GGAUCAGCAGGUUGGUCGUGCCACUGGUAUGCACUGGCUUUGCUGGUUUCUCCUUUCUGAAGAACUGUAAUGCCAUUAAUUUGGUGUUGCAGGGAAACAGGACUGUUACUUUGAAAAAAUUAGAGUGUUUAAAGCAGGCUAACGCUUGAAUACAUUAGCAUGGAAUAAUGAAAUAGGACGUUUGAUCCUAUUUUGUUGGUUUCUAGGAUUGACGUAAUGAUUAAUAGGGAUAGUUGGGGGCAUUAGUAUUCAAUUGUCAGAGGUGAAAUUCUUGGAUUUAUUGAAGACUAACUACUGCGAAAGCAUUUGCCAAGGAUGUUUUCAUUAAUCAAGAACGAAAGUUAGGGGAUCGAAGACGAUCAGAUACCGUCGUAGUCUUAACCAUAAACUAUGCCGACUAGGGAUCGGAUGAUGUUAAUUUUUUAAUGACUCAUUCGGCGCCUUACGGGAAACCAAAGUGUUUGGGUUCCGGGGGGAGUAUGGUCGCAAGGCUGAAACUUAAAGGAAUUGACGGAAGGGCACCACCAGGGGUGGAGCCUGCGGCUUAAUUUGACUCAACACGGGGAAACUCACCAGGUCCAGACAUAGUAAGGAUUGACAGAUUGAGAGC
rnacentral:rRNA from 1 species